AACUUUAUAGUCAAAAAUGAUAUUAGAUUGCAAAUCUAAAGGAAUAAAUUUAUUUAUUUAAGUUU
rnacentral:tRNA from 1 species